rnacentral:tRNA from 2 species
GCGGGUAUGGCGGAAUUGGCAGACGCGCUGGAUUUAGGUUCCAGUGGGCAACCGUGUGGGUUCAAAUCCCACUACCCGUA